GACGAACGCUGGCGGCGUGCUUAACACAUGCAAGUCGAACGGACAGGUCCUGCUUUUGUUGGUUGCUCGAGUGGCGAACGGGGGAGUAACACGUGAGUAACCUCUCCCUGACUUUGGGAUAACUUCAGGAAACUGGGGCUCAUACCGGAUAGGAUCUCUUGCUGCAUGGUGGGGGAUGGUAAGAUUCGGCGGUUGGGGAUGGACUAGCGGCUUAUCAGCCUGUUUGUGGGGUAGUGGCUUACCAAGGCUUUGACGGGUAGCCGGCCUGAGAGGGUAGACGGCCACAUUGCGACUGAGAUACGGCCCAGACUGCUAUGGGACGCAGCAGUGGGGAAGAUUGCAGAAUGGGCGGAAGCCAGAUGUAGCGACGCCGCGUGCGGGAUAACGGCCUUCGAGUUGUAAACCGAUUUCGCCUGUGCCGAAGCGUGAGUGACGGUAAUGGGUAAAGAAGCCCCGGCUAACUACGUG
rnacentral:rRNA from 1 species